rnacentral:rRNA from 1 species
CUUGGUCAUUUAGAGGAAGUAAAAGUNGUAACAAGGUCUCCGUUGGUGAACCAGCGGAGGGAUCAUUA